rnacentral:sRNA from 1 species
GCCAGGCAUGGUGGUGCACACCUGUAAUCCCAGCAACUCAGGAGGCUGAGGCAGGAGGAUUGCAAGUUCAAAAACAGCUUCAGCAAUUUAGCAAGGCUAUAAGCAACUUAGUGAGGCCCUAAGCAACUUGGUGAAACCCUGUCUCAA